CAUUCCGACGAGUGAUUGGUCCGUGCUGAAGGUUGAUGAACCUUUACCCAGUGGUGGGCAGCACGUGAUCAUUCAGAUCAACAAGGAGACCGAGGAUCUGCUUUAUAAGCGCAACGGCAAAAUGGCGUGAGGCUUAGGGAGCGUGUACCUUCGCCUCAAAAAACGUCUUUCCAACGACCAGGACACCCACACGCUGAGGUCAGGAGAGGUUGAGGAGGAUCUCGGUCUUGAGAGCGUUACCGACGCCACCUUGCACCUCAGGCUGGCUGACGAGACGGAGGAGGUGGAGGAGGAACUGUCCAUGCAGACGGGCCCCACCGCGAGUUUGCAAACCUCUAAUGAGUGUGCUGCAACUUAACCUCCAUGAGUUCAAAACGGCUUCGGCGGAGCUACGCCUGGCCUUGAGGAAGAGUCCGCCUACGCGGCUUUGGUACAAGAACCGUGGAUAGCGUCGGGCAGCACAGUUGCUGGGCUGCAGUCGCCUAAUUACGAUCUGUACGUCCCGAAAUUGCAAUGACGAUCUUACCGUGGUGGUACUGGAGAGCCGUGAGGGAUGUUUGCUGCUGGCAUCCUGCUACAUGGCCCACGACGUACCGGCUCCACCUAAAGAGCUGCGGAGACUGGUGGACAUGGUCUGCUCCUCCAACAAACAACUAAUAAUCGCAACAGACCCCAACGCCCACCAUAGCGUCUGGGGAAGUCCCGACAUAAACGUAAGGGAUUUGGGGCCAUAUUGUUACGGACUGGUUGUCUUCCCUGGGACCGCGGCGGCUGGCUCAUCGGUACUCAGGGUGAGUUCCAUCUCUGGCCCGCAGUCCGCACAAUCCAUAACUCCAUCGAUACUAAACAGUUGCUUUAAAACGGAAAACUCAUUACUAACAAUACAAAGCAGCUGCCGCGCAAUUGAAAGUUGCGCUAAACAAAAGGAAAUAUAAAACAAACUAUUGACAACGGGCCACUUUUGGACCCCGGCGUACCCACCCUGCCUGAGAUGGCUACAUCGGCGUCAUUCCAAUUGCGUUGUCCACUACUUCAUUGGCUGCUCCAAUGUCCGGUGUAGUGCUGUGGAUUUCCCCUCCCCGCCAUGACGAGAAAACACAACCAUGUCGCUCAACGAUUCGAAACAAAAAGAAGAAACAAGGUGAAACAGCAAAGAAGCAACAACGGAGUAUGGGACAACUUAUAUAUAGUAUGUGACAGUAACGAAAACAAGGAUAUGUGUAUUUAUGUUUUUAAUGUAUACAAAUUAACAAAAAUUGAUUAGAUUUUUGUUUUUAAAAAAGCCAAGUGCUUUAUUCAGGAGUUGGAUUAGAACUAACUUAAGCAAUCUAAAUUAUUAAAAAUAAAGCUCUGCUGCUGAAGUUAC